rfam:Schistosoma haematobium scaffold779_25, whole genome shotgun sequence.
AUCCAAUUGACGAGUCCCAAAUAGAGCGAAACGGAUAUCCUGGAU